AAACUAGGAUUAGAUACCCUAUUAUUUAGAACCUUCAAUUGUAGUAAUAAAGAUUAUGAAAGCAAAAAAUUAUGGCGGUAUUUUAAGCUUUUCAGAGGAAUUUGCUCUUUAAUGGAUAAAACACCUAAAUCUUACUUAAAUUUGUUAAUUCAAUUUGUAUACCACUAUAAAAACAAUUUAUAACUUUAAUUGUUGAUAUUUAUUAAAUUAAAAUAUAUUAAGUCAAGGUGCAGUAAAAAUUUAAGGAUGAAGUGAAUUACAUUACUUUUUAGAGAAAUAAAUUUAAAAUAAUAUUUAGGAUUUGAAAGUAAAAUUAAAAUAUAAUGUUAAUUUGAAUUAAGCUCUAAAAUAUGUACACAUCGCCCGUCGCUCUCAUU
rnacentral:rRNA from 1 species